UCAGGAGUAUUCGGGUUCCGGGGGGAGUAUGGUCGCAAGGCCGAAACUUAAAGGAAUUGACGGAAGGGCACCACCAGGAGUGGAAUCUGCGGCUUAAUUUGACAACGCGGGAAAAACUCACCAGGUCAGGACACGGUAAGGAUUGACGGACUGAAGGCUCUUUCUCGAUUCCGUGGAAAGUGGUGCAUGGCCGUUUUUGGUUGGUGGAUCGAUCCGUCUGGUUAAUUCCGUUAACGAACGAGACCUCGGCACUCCGAAUAGCGCGGCGGACGUCGCGGCCUCCGGGCCGUCUUCCGCACGAGCUUCUUAGAGGGACCGUCCCCCGCCGGGGAAGGAGGUGCGAGGCAACGACAGGUCUGUGAUGCCCUUAGAUGUUCUGGGCCGCACGCGCAUUACACUGACGCGUCCAACGGGUGACUCCCGACCCGAAGGGGCCGGGGAAUCCGCAAGGCGCGUCGUGAUGGGGAUUGAACGUUGCAAUUGUUGUUCACGAACGAGGAAUUCCUAGUAGGCGCGGGUCAUCAACCCGCGCCGAUUACGUCCCUGCCC
rnacentral:rRNA from 1 species